AAUGAACGCUGGCGGCAGGCCUAACACAUGCAAGUCGAACGAGGCAGCAAUGCCUAGUGGCGGACGGGUGAGUAACGCGUGGGAACGUGCCCCUUGGUACGGAAUAGCCCUGGGAAACUGGGAGUAACACCGUAUGUGGUCGAGAGACGAAAGAUUUAUCGCCAAGGGAUCGGCCCGCGUUGGAUUAGUUAGUUGGUGGGUUAAUGGCUUACCAAGCCGACGAUCCAUAGCUGGUUUGAGAGGAUGAUCAGCCACACUGGGACUGAGACACGGCCCAGACUCCUACGGGAGGCAGCAGUGGGGAAUCUUAGACAAUGGAGGAAACCCUGAUCUGGCCAUGCCGCGUGAUCGAUGAAGGCCUUAGGGUUGUAAAGAUCUUUCAGUGGGGAAGAUAAUGACGGUACCCACAGAAGAAGCCCCGGCUAACUCCGUGCCAGCCGCCGCAGUAA
rnacentral:rRNA from 1 species